UUCACCUUUGGGGCUGCAGAGGGGCUGUGGGCUGGGCAGGGCCCAGGCCUCUGCCUUGUAGGUCUGGAUGUCCUAUGCUUUGUCUAUUUUUAGGAUCUCAUAGGGUUUGUGUCCCCCCUUGCCCCCCACACACAUCCUUGUUUAUAAUUCUUCCCUAGCCCUCAUUUGGCAUAUUCUAAUGGGACUCAAAAGAACCAAGUUUAUUGAUAGUAUAGUUAUGAACAAAGCUAGUCAUCUAUCUAUCUAUCUACCUAUCUAUUUUAUUUGCAAUACUGGAAAUUGAACCCGGGCCUCAGCAGUAAGCCUCAGCCUUACACAUAAAUUAAUUUCUUUAUGCUAUGCAGAUAGGGUCUGGCUAAGUCACUAAGUUGGCCAGGUUAGACUGGAACUUGUAAUCCUCCUGCCUCGGCAUCCCAAAGUGCUGACACUAGGCGUUUACACCACCAUGCCUGGGGUGAAGCUGCCAUUUUUUAAGGCCCGAUGUGAGGCUAGGCCUGUGGUAAUGUACCUGGUCCUUUCAAUCCUUGCACAAUUCUGUGUGUGAGGUAAUACCCCCAGUAAGGAAGCCCGGGCUCGAGGAGUUCGUGCAAGGUUUCCCACCACGUGAGAGGAGGCAGCAGCUCCGGGGCUUUCUGCUGCGCUAAGCCCACCGGCCACCUGCCCGGGCCCUGCACCGCGGGGCUCCUGCGGAGCACCCAGAGGUUGCAAGUGCUCAGAUCGCUGGAGCUCACCGGUGUUAGCCACAAGGGCUCUGAUUAGUGGAGCUCGCGAGCUGCAAGUGCCCUGAUUGGUGGAGCUCACUCACCAGCUUUAACUGCCCACGCUCUGAUUGGUAGAGCUCACAAGUUUUAGCACGUGCCUUAUGGAGACCAAAUUUGCCACUUAUGCCCAACCACUGGGUCAGAGGAAUAUGCACAGAAGCCCGCGACCAUCUGCACACAAGGACUGUGGCCCUUGUCAUGGGGAGGGGGUCAGGGCCGAGGCCAGAACGGUUCACACCACACAGUGCAACCAGCCUGGCUUGGAUGCGCGGGGGUCGGCUGUGUAGAGGGCAGGCGGAGAAACAGGCUCCCAACAGUGUUCAACACACGGUGUCACGAUUUUAUUGGGAAUCGAGAACAGUCUUGACGGAAACACGCACUGCACAGGCGUUUGGUGUUUCAAGAUACAACACACUUGGCAUCUGCGGCAGAAUUAUACAAACAAGUGUAUUUUUGUUGCUGUUGCUUAAACCUUCAUCAUUAACCAGUACAUCAUUAACCAUAACUUACCAAAAAUGUCAUCUUAAAAAUGGCUCAAUAUUGUUUCUUGUCUUGCAAGUAAAAUUUUAAAAAAAAGAGAGAGAAAAUAUAAGUUCUGCUAAAUCAGUUUAGCCAUUGCUAAUUCAAUACUUCUGUUGCAUCUGCAAACUCUUCCGCAACUCUUAAGCUGACUUUUUAAAAAGUACGAUCAGAGAGUGCAAUGUGAAAUCCAGUUAAUGGGAAAAGCAUGAAAGGAAGAACUUUUUAAAGGCAGUUUUAGUUGUGGUUUUGUAUUAAGGGACGGUAAUAACUCGAAGGAAGCUCACAGGGCCGGAAACGUAGCAUCGUCCUCGGGAACCCCGGAGACCGAGCGGCGCUGCGCUUUCUGUUUGGAACCCCGCACCCGAGCCGAUCACUCGAUCCUUGUCCUCGCCUAAACCCAGACGCCAUGCUCUCGGCGUUCCUGGUUGUCCCUACAUUCCCUAUUUCGUCACUACCUCUGAGCUUCAGCAUUGGCUUGCGCUCUGCACUGUGCGUGCCAGGGUGUACUCUAGAUGAUCAGCUCAUCAUCACUGGCAAAAUCAGGCUUUCAGGGCAUCUCAUGGGUCGUUGGGUCCAGACACUCCCGACCCUGCUGGACUUCGGGUGGCAUCCAUGUGCUGCCAGAUGACCACAGGGCCUUUGUUCCAACAGCAGCUCAAAGCCGCCUUCUUCUUCCCAGAUGUGAGCCAGGACCAAGGGAAGACAAGCAGGGAGGAGCUGUGAAGACUUGGUGAGGAGGGGAAAUGUCGUCCCAAGUACAUGUGUGUGUUCACCCACAACAUACAAAAUUAAAAAUAUGAAAACACAAUGCCAGCCCCCUUCACACAAUCUCAAAAGCCCAGCGUGAGCCCUCCGCUGAGGGCUCACAAGUACAAGUGAACUUGACUUCCAGGCUGUCCGGAGUUGCUCCGCUUACCCUCAGGAUUGUCAUGAAUUUUUAAAAAAUAAUUUAUUUCUAUACCCCAAACCCCCAUUUCCUUUUAAUUUUACUUGGCUAGGAAAGAGUUACCUUCAGGGAAAGAAUAAAUGGAGGUGAAAAGGGUUUUUGUAAAACCUAAACAUAAUUUUCACAUAUUCCAACAUGGAAAAGUUUCAAAUUUGUUUCUUCAUAAAAUCAUUCCCCCGGGCUCUAUCGCCCCCUGGGAAACUACCAUUUCUUCUCACUUGAGCACAGCAGUGUGGGAAGGGUCAGUUAGUGACUGGAAAUCCAGUCUUCAGGGCACGGAAUGAGAAGCCAGAAAGGGAAGCCCAAGUCCUCGGGCCAACAGAAAUGAGGUCUUUUUGUUUGUUUUAUAUCUUCCAUAUAAAAUUAGAAUACUUAAAAAAUUAAAUACAAUUAUCAGACGACAUUUUUAAACAAUGAGGCACUACAGAAAUCUACAUCAUAUGUGCAAAUUGCUCGUGGAAGGAAGUGAGAGAGAGAGAUGCCCCCAUCUCCCCUGCUGGAGCAGCAGCCCCUGGGCAGCACUAGCAGAGGGACAGGAGGGACAGGAGGGACAGGAGGGACAGAGGGUCUAGAGGGAGGGCUGCUGGGGUCCACCGGGCUGAAGCAAAGCACCCGGAUCUCAGUGACUCCUGGUCAGCUGGAGCCCACACAAGGAAUUCCAUUAAUCACAAGCAGCGGCGCGUGGUGUUCGCAUCAGGUGAAGUCCAGGUGGGGGAGCUAGGGUGGGGUGACACUGGGAUAGCUGACCCUGGCUCCUGAGCAGGACGCACAUCACAGAGGUGUCAACAGCCACCAGGAGGGGAGAGGGUGCCACAUUUAGUGACAGAGUAGGGGGAGGGAGCCCCCGCAGAGCUGUCUUUGCAAAGCAAGGAGGAACCAAGUGAGAUGGGUGAGAGGAAGGCAGGACGGGCUCUCACGGGACCCAGGAGGGCAGCAGGAAGAGGGGGUCGGACUCCACCACCACUGCUUUCGGAUCCUCUGCCUUCUCUGAAGGCUGUGGUGACUUCACCACCUGGGGACCCGCAGAAUCCCUUUUCACUGAAAUGACAGUUGUCACCGUAGUGCACACAGUCUGGCUCUUGGAAACUGACUGCAGGAUGUGGAUGUGGAUGUGGAUGUGGAUGUGGAUGUGGAUGUGGAAGUGGAUGUGGAUGUGGAUGUGGAUGUGGAUGAUGUGGAUGUGGAUGUGGAUGUGGAUGGGAAACGCAAAGCAAGGGAAGUUCUGCAAGAACACAU